UACGUAGGCAGCAAGCGUUGUUCGGAAUUACUGGGCGUAAAGAGUGUGUAGGCGGUGCUCUAAGUUCGGUGUGAAAUCUCCCGGCUCAACUGGGAGGGUGCGCCGGAAACUGGAAUGCUUGAGCGUGGGAGAGGAAAGCGGAAUUCCUGGUGUAGCGGUGAAAUGCGCAGAUAUCAGGAGGAACACCGGUGGCGAAGGCGGAUCUCUGGGCCAUUACUGACGCUGAGGAGCGAAAGCGUGGGGAGCGAACAGG
rnacentral:rRNA from 1 species